CUACGGGCGGCUGCAGUGAGGAAUAUUGCACAAUGGGGGGAACCCUGAUGCAGCAACGCCGCGUGGAGGAUGACGCAUUUCGGUGUGUAAACUCCUUUUAUAUGUCAAGAAAAUGACGGUAGCAUAUGAAUAAGCACCGGCUAACUCCGUGCCAGCAGCCGCGGUAAUACGGAGGGUGCAAGCGUUACAUGGAAUCACUGGGCGUAAAGGACGCGUAGGCGGGUUGGAAAGUCAGGUGUGAAAUCCUACAGCUUAACUGUAGAACUGCACUUGAAACUUCUAAUCUAGAGUAUGGGAGGGGGAGAUGGAAUUAGUGGUGUAGGGGUAAAAUCCGUAGAUAUCACUAGGAAUACCUAAAGCGAAGGCGAUCUCCUGGAACAUUACUGACGCUAAGGCGUGAAAGCGUGGGGAGCAAACAGGAUUAGAUACCCGAGUAGUC
rnacentral:rRNA from 1 species